GUUUUAUUUAAAAGUAAAGCUGGUUAGAACACAUUAGCUUUUGCAGAUCAGGGUUGGCCAGCCCUGCACUUCAUUCAGAGAUCAGACCACUUGGUCUUAAGCUUCCAGCUCCAGGGCCCCUGGUGACGGUCCCCAGCAUCUGGGGAGGAGGGGGGCGCUAGUGGUGAGUACCGGGAUGCACGGCCGCCCCUGCGCCGUCCCGGGGCCAAGAGUGGCGGAGCAACGUGACCGAGGCUCAGGGCGAGCGCGGGCUGCGCGGGUCCCCGCGGCGCUCCCAGGCGACACCCACCCACGCGCUGCGCACGCCGGGCCGGGCGAGCUAGACUCCGGGCCGCGUGUGGACUCCUCCCGCCUGCAGGUACGGGCUGGCGCGCCUCUGCCGGGACUUAGUUGGGCCGACCAGAGGAGAAGUGGCGGUCCCCUGGGUGUGGGGUGGGGGUGUGAUGAAGCCUGUGCUGUGCAAGAAAGGUGGCGGAGCAGGGCUCGGGAUUCAGGAUGCGCGCGGGGAAAGGAGAUUCUUUGUAAGCCCGGGAAAGUCGAGCGGGUGGAGACUAUGGACGUUUGCAGGAUGCACAGCAGCCUGCCGGGCUGUACGGGAGCACAGUGCUGCUUCGGGGUGUGCGCGUGUGAGUGUGUGUGUGCGCGCGCGUGAGUGUGUGUGUGUGUGUGUGUGUGUGUGUGUGUGUGUGUGUACCAGCUGCCGCUCCCUCCAGGGUCUCCGGAGCACGCCACCUGAUCAGUUGGUGGGCAGUUUCCAGGCUGCUUCGGCUCGGGUGUGCAGGUCUGUGCGUGCGUGUGUGCAUGCGUGCGCGCUUGUGUGCAGACUGUGGCGAGUGCCAGGCGGCGGCGGCGGCGGCAGCGGCGGGCGGGCCGCGGCGGGGCCAGGCUCGAAGGGGUUAAGCGUCGCCGCCGCCCCCUCGGCGGCCGGGUGUAAACAGAGCAGCUUCAGCCUAUCAUGUCUGGCUGCCGCUCGCAGCCGGAGCCCCGAGCCCGGCGCUGUAACGCGAUCCGCUCCAGACCCAGGCAAGUUGGCAGCGCCGGGCUCCGCUCCGCACGGCCACGGCGAGGGCGCGCGGCGGCAAGGUGGGUGAGCGCGGCCUGGGCGGUUCCUCGCGCGGUUCCACGCGCGGCUCCGAGCUCUCUCUCGGGCGCGCGGGGACCCCCGACUCCGCGGUCCCCUCGGCGCGGGUCCCGCGGUCCGUCCUCCCCGGUGGCGGCGGGAUGGGAGGAGGCUUCGCGCCGGUGGAAAUCGGUGCAGAGGCAACAUUAGCAUCUGAAAUUAGGUGGCUUUUUAACCCCUGAGGGUCCAGAUUUAAGGAUUUAGGAGAGGUGGAGGCAGAACUUUCCCGAAUACUCUUCGCCACCCGGAGUGGUGCAGGUAGCCACGGGGAGAUGGAGUCUUUUGUUCCCGGUAUUUUUAAUUAAAUGGAUUUCUAAAAUGAGUAAUCUACGGUCCAAAUCUUUGAGGUAAAACUGUCUUUUUCUUUCUUUCGUCUUCUUUUUUAGCCUCCAUGUGUUCUUUUGACUUUUGCCAUAUAUCUUACGGAAUUUGUUUGGAGCAAGUCUUAGCGAUCAUGAUUUUGAAUAAUUCAUGUCAGAAAUGUUUAAAAAAUCUGCUUCGAACGUAAAUGAAUCAACCUUUUGGUUCCAUUAACCGAAAUCCAUCAUACUAAUUGCUUAAUGGGGGCGAAAGGUACAAAAUAAUCUUGCUAAUUAAAAGAGCAGGUUUUUGCCUGUGAAACACUCCGUCCCUUUUUGUCGUGAAAAGAUUUUUUAAGGGGCACGGUCUCUAAAGAAAUUCAACUUUUGCAGAUGUGCUUCGAUGUAGAUUACUCCUGUGGAAAAAGAGUUGCGCAUAGUUGGGGAAACUUAGUUCC
rnacentral:lncRNA from 1 species